AGUGGGGGAUAUUGCACAAUGGGGGAAACCCUGAUGCAGCAACGCCGCGUGUGGGAAGAAGGUUUUCGGAUUGUAAACCACUGUCCCCAGGGACGAUAAUGACGGUACCUGAGGAGGAAGCUCCGGCUAACUACGUGCCAGCAGCCGCGGUAAUACGUAGGGAGCGAGCGUUGUCCGGAAUUACUGGGUGUAAAGGGUGCGUAGGCGGCUCUGCAAGUCAGUUGUGAAAGCCCGGGGCUUAACUCCGGAAUUGCAAUUGAAACUGUGGAGCUUGAGUGGAGUAGAGGUAGGCGGAAUUCCCGGUGUAGCGGUGAAAUGCGUAGAGAUCGGGAGGAACACCAGUGGCGAAGGCGGCCUACUGGGCUUUAACUGACGCUGAGGCACGAAAGCAUGGGUAGCAAACAGGAUUAGAUACCCUGGUAGUCCAUGCCGUAAACGAUGAUUACUAGGUGUGGGGGGUCUGACCCCUUCCGUGCCGGAGUUAACACAAUAAGUAAUCCACCUGGGGAGUACGACCGCAAGGUUGAAACUCAAAGGAAUUGACGGGGGCCCGCACAAGCAGUGGAGUAUGUGGUUUAAUUCGAAGCAACGCGAAG
rnacentral:rRNA from 1 species